rnacentral:rRNA from 1 species
UCAAGCUACCAAGGGCACACGGUGGAUGCCUUGGCACCAAGAGCCGAUGAAGGACGUAGCGUUGUUGCGAUAAGCCUCGGGUAGCUGCUAGCAAGCACUCGAUCCGGGGAUUUCCGAAUGGGGCAACCCACCUGGAGGAAUGUCCAGGUACUCCCGGUUGAAUAUAUAGGCCGGGUAGAGGGCACGCGGAGAACUGAAACAUCUAAGUAUCCGCAGGAAAAGAUACCAUCCCCUGAGUAGUGGCGAGCGAAAAGGGGCGAGCCUAAACCGAGACGGCGUGAUAGCCGGCAGGCGUUUCCGUCUCGGGGUCGCGGGACCUCAGCGUUCCCUCUGCCGAGGGGGCAAGGAGUUACAAAGUCGUUGUCUAGCCGAACGGCAUUGGAAAAGCCGGCCGCAGAGGGUGACAGCCCCGUACGCGAAAGGCACACGACCUCCUUUGAGAGCUCCCAAGUACCACGGAACACGUGGAAUUCUGUGGGAAUCUGGGCGGACCAUCGUCCAAGCCUGAAUACUCUUGGUGACCGAUAGUGAACAAGUACCGUGAGGGAAAGGUGAAAAGCACCCCAGACGGGGAGUUAAAAGUACCUGAAACCGUGUGCUUACAAGCCGUGAGAGGGCUAUGCCCCUAGUGGGAAUGCCUGAUUGCGUGCCUUUUGUAGAAUGAGCCGGCGAGUUACUUCCAUGUGGCGAGGUUAAGGGGUUGACACCCGGAGCCGUAGCGAAAGCGAGUCUGAAUAGGGCGUGACCACCGUAAUGGUGGUGGUAGUCGCAUGGAGUAGACCCGAAACCGAGUGACCUAUCCAUGGUCAGGGUGAAGCGCGGGUAAGACCGCGUGGAAGCCCGAACCGACCCCAGUUGAAAAUGCGGCGGAUGAACUGUGGAUAGCGGUGAAAUGCCAAUCGAACUCGGAUAUAGCUGGUUCUCCUCGAAAUGCAUUUAGGUGCAGCGUCGUCAAUGGGUCUGUCGCUGGUAGAGCACUGAAUGGGCUAGGGGCGAUCACCUCGUUACCAAACCCAACCAAACUCCGAAUGGCGGCAGAUUUUCUGGCGGCAGUGAGACGGUGGGGGCUAAGCUUCAUCGUCGAAAGGGAAACAGCCCAGACCACCGGCUAAGGUCCCAAAUCGCAAGCUAAGUGGAAAAGGAUGUCACGAUGUCCAGACAACCAGGAUGUUGGCUUAGAAGCAGCCACCAUUGAAAGAGUGCGUAAUAGCUCACUGGUCGAAUGUCGUGGCGCCGACAAUGAUCGGGGCUCAAGCUUGCAACCGAAGCCGUGGAUGGCCCUCCCUUGGGAGGGUCGUGGUAGAGGAGCGUUCUGUGUGCCGAGAAGCCUGACCGUAAGGACGGGUGGAGCGCACAGAAGUGAGAAUGUCGGCACAAGUAGCGAGAAACGCGUGAGAAACGUGUUCGCCGUAAACCUAAGGUUUCCUGGGCAACGUUACUCGUCCCAGGGUCAGUCGGGACCUAAGCCGAGGCCGAAAGGCGUAGGCGAUGGACAGUUGGUCAACAUUCCAACACCGCCGCUGGUUCGUUAUCAGCAAUGGGGGAACGGGGAAGGAUAGGCCUGACGGGGCGACGGUUGUCCCCGACGGAGCCUUGUAGGAGGUCAAGUAGGCAAAUCCGCUUGACGCUAACUCCAAGAAGGAUCCCAAGACACUUUGUGUCGAUGGGGCCGAUUCCAUGCCUCCAAGAAAAGCCUCUAGCGAGAACCACGGCGCCCGUACCGCAGACCGACACAGGUAGGUGGGAAGAGGAUUCCAAGGCGAUCGAGGGAAACGUGGCUAAGGAACUCGGCAAAAUGUCCCCGUAACUUCGGGAGAAGGGGAGCCCUUGGCGGUGAUCCGAUUUACUCGGUGAGCUGACGAGGGCCGCAGAGAAAAGGCCCAUCCGACUGUUUACUAAAAACACAGGUCUCUGCUAAAGCGUAAGCUGACGUAUAGGGGCUGACGCCUGCCCGGUGCCGGAAGGUUAAGUGGAGGGGUGCAAGCUCUGAAAUGAAGCCCCGGUAAACGGCGGCCGUAACUAUCAACAUUGACCGUGGUAGUUAUAAAACCCGGCUAUUUGCUGGAAUCUCCGAGAAUCCCGCGCUACUGCAACGUGCAGUGACAAUGCGACGGGUGCGGACAAUCAGCAGGAAAGACUGCUCCGCGGAGCAGAAUCCUCAGAGGCCAUACGCCGGGCCCUCCGCGUGAGGGAUGAGAUGGUCCGAUCUCAUGGGCGACCAUGAGAGCUGGUACUCAAGCCAGCCACUCCAGGACGUCUGGAGGAGCAACAACGAUGAACGGUCCUAAGGUAGGACAGUAGCUGCCUUAGUAAAAUCUGGCUAUAUGCUGGAAAACCCGAGAAUCCCGCGCUACUGCAACGUGCAGUGACAAUGCGACGGGUGCGGACAAUCAGCAGGAAAGACUGCUCCGCGGAGCAGAAUCCUCAGAGACCAUACGCCAGACAGUUCAAAUCGAGCUGAAGAUAUGGUCCCAUCUGCAUGGCGACAUGCAGGGAGGUCGUGGAACAACCUCCGCUCAGACGGAAACGUCUAAGUCAAGGAUUAAGCGAAAUUCCUUGUCGGGUAAGUUCCGACCCGCACGAAUGGCGUAACGAGAUGGGCGCUGU